GCGUCAGUGGUUUGGUGGUAAAAUCCAUCGUUGCCAUGCGUGCAAACCUCGAUGGGCCCCGCGUUCGAUUCGGGGUUGACGCA